UGACAGCUGACGUGGCUGCGAGGGAAAGCGCGCGUAGGCGGGCCGGGGUGCGCGCGCGCACCCGCAUAGCCUCUCUUGCCUCUUUACCUCAGGGACGCAGGAGCCUCGCGGUGGGGGCGCCAGUUGUUGUUGAACUCGCCCAUUCCCGCCAGAUUUGGCCCAACGGCCAGGGACGAUGGGAGCUGUAGUUCAACAACGUCUGAAGCGGGGACGGGGACGCUGUAUUAAUGCCACCCACUUCGAAUAUAUAAUUGAUCUGUAGAAAGAUAUAUGUAAGUGAAGGCAAGGAGACAAGACAUUAAAUUCCAAAUAUUUGAGCUGUCAAAACAUAACCACAACAUCAGUAUGCAGGAUGGUGUGUUUAUUUUGUUUUCUGUUUUGUUUGUUUUGCUGUUGUGAUUUGGUUCAACCCAUCCUGUGCACUCAGUUACAGACGGAAGAAAUUUUAGGACCAUAAAAUAUCCAUCUCUGUUUGGCCAGAGGAAGCAGAGAAUGGAAGGAGUUGAGAUGUUUCCAUAUUUUAUUUAAGGAUAACUAAUUCAGUUUGUUGCUCUUUGUGAUAAUGACUUCUAAUUCUACAGUCACCCUUUCCCUUUGAAGUCCCUUUGUUUGAUGAAUAAAUCUGCAAUGUGAA